rnacentral:piRNA from 1 species
UGGAGGAAAAGAAACCACCACAAGGGC